UACAGAGACUGCAAGCGUUUAUUCGGAUUUACUGGGCGUAAAGCGCGCGCAGGCGGCAAGGUAAGUAAGGUGUGAAAUCUGUCGGCUCAACCGGGAGGGUGCACUUUAGACUGCUUUGCUUGAGGUCGGUAGAGGGGGUGGAAUUCCCAGUGUAGCGGUGAAAUGCGUAGAUAUUGGGAGGAACACCAGUGGCGAAGGCGGCUCACUGGACCGGAACUGACGCUGAGGCGCGAAAGCGUGGGGAGCAAACAGGGAUUAAGAAACCCGUGUA
rnacentral:rRNA from 1 species